CAUCCAUUUGCGUGCAAAACUCAGGAUGUCCUCAUUCUUAAUAGCUGAGUAACAUUCCAUGUGUAAAUGAUCCACAUUUUCUGUAUCCAUUCUUCCAUUGUGGGAUCUUACAUCUUAAAACCAAGCUCAGAAGACUGCCUGGGAGACAAUCCUGAGCCUGUUCUGGGUUAUCAAUUCCUCCGAACUCUGAUGAAAUCCCCCUUCCAGAAAUGUUGAAUCCUAUGCUUCUUGCAUCCAUUGUCAGAAGACUUCUGAAGCCCAGGCUACGAUCCCAUAUCUGUACACAUGGCAGUCUCAUCCUCAUCAGAGUGCCUGUGGAGACAGAUGUCAGGGUGUUUGCGCUAUAGAGUCUCUGAGCUUUCUUUCCUAGAGGUGCUCCAGUGAGUACAGUAGCUGUCCAUUCACUUCCAUGGGACAGAUGACUUAGCCCUCGGCUGCUGCAUGUAAAAACUGGAGGGUUCGAUAGAAUGUUUGUUACCUGCUGCCUGGAGCUGGGGAGGUUCCUUGACUGGGUGCUGCUGCCGCCGAGGUGUACUGGUGUGGCAUGACGACGAGGUGCAGUAAGGAAGUUAAAUUCCCUUCUGUCUGUUAAUUGUCUAGAGUGGCAUUCAACUUGGAUACGUUUGGAUGGGGGUAGAUGAGGGCCCUUCUGAAUAUGAAGCAUGUAACACGUUAUUGCCUGCGUGUUAGAGUGUAAUCACCAUGGAGAACUGCAGCAGAGGGUCUGCAUCAGCACCUUUCUAUGGUGAUUGGUACCAUGGAGAGCUUUGGUCUGUUCCGUUGUGUUUAACAAGACAAUAAGGAGGGAAUAUAGACAUCUCAGUCAGGAUUGGAACCCUGGAAAUGCUUCUCCCACUCUCCAUCACUGUCUUCAUGGCCAAUAACAUUGUGGUACCUUAGUGUAAUCUUCAUGUGAAGCAACUGCUGCUUCAUCACGGUGCUCUUUGAUUGACAUAGAGACUGACAAAAUUAUUAUGGGGAAAAAAAAGCAAACAUACCCAGUUCUGAUUUAAAAUAAUUUUUAAAAUGUCUUGCCAGUUAUCCCAUAGGAGACCUUUAAUAAAAUACGAACUCUUUGAGUUUCCAGUAUGAGUGUCAGGGCUGAAGAAACGGCUCAGCUGCUAAAGGUUGACUUAGAACUAAAGGAGAAUCAUUUAAUUUCCCACCUUCGAGUGCCCAUAGAAAUGACAAAUAGGAUAUAAAAACAGGGAGACGAUCACUGAGAAUCCUCAUCCCUUUUCAGGGUGGGGCAAGGACCUCAGAGUGGGAAAGCAGGAAGGGCUAACCUGCUACUUCCUCUGUCGAACAACCGCAGUAACUAUGGGCAAGCUGGGCUCUGGCAGGAAUGCACUCCUGUGCUCCAGACUGAAAGCUAAUGAGUAAACUACAGCACAGUUCUCACUCUUGGGAGAGUCGUUGGCUUCGUUGAAGUCUGCAGACCUCCCCCAGAUUCUUUGUCAGGUAGAAGACAAGUGGGUGCUGAUCUCUUGAGAGGCACAGGCAGCGCUUUAGAGCAAACAUACAUGGGAGUGCACUGGCGUUCAUGUGGAAGGAACUAGCACCAAGUACAUGUGACUUUACACAGUCACAUCUAGUCCUAGCUCACUACCAACUACACAGACAUGCUUUUGUGUCACUCCUACGUUCAGAGUGCAGGCACACAGAGCCAGCCCCCAGCCUAAACUGGGCAGCUCCAAGAACCAGCUCAAAUGUUCAGGUGACCAAGAAGUCCCUAUUGCCAUUCAACAGUCAAAACCAGUAGAAAUAUGUAACAUAGUUUCAUAUAUACCUCAUUCAAGCUCUUAUCAAUAGAUACAUAUGAAUAUAUGCUUAUUGAAAAACCCACUGCAGUAAAGCAAGAAAACAUACACGUCAAGAUGUAGGAGAGUUUAGAAUUACUAUUAUAGCUAUGCUUAAACCUUUCCAUUCUGCUUGCAUGCUGAAAUUGGCACUUAUAAUUGGGAGUCCACUUUAAAAAUCUGAAGGAGAAGGGUGUCUCCACACUAUCUCUAUCAUAACUGGGCUCUUAACCUUUGGCAUUUCACCCAAGUGAGAUGCAGUCGGAGCUAAAUUUUCUACACCCACAAGGGCCUAAAUGCUGCCGUGCAAAGGAAACAAGGGGCAUGAAUCAUUCCCUAAAGAAUACACUUUCCUUUCUCUGAAAUAAUUCAUAUAUUAGUCAUUUAAAAAAAUUAGCAACCAUCUGGGCCUGCCACUAAUUAAAGUUGAAAGUAAACAAUCAACUAGAAGUAGGAAUGUAACUUGACUCAAUAUUCUUGAGAACACACACACACACCACAUACAUACAUGCAGAUAUUCACAAGAUCUUUUAAAAGAUCUUUUGAAAAAAUGUUAAAAAUGUUUUUAAUGAUUACAUUUUAACUCACUAAUUUCAACUAUUGGUAUUUUUAAAGUAAUAAAAGAUAUAUGUGUAAAUAUUUUGAUUACAGCAUUUCUUAUAAAAACUAUAAAGGUUCAACUGUUAAAAAUUGGUUAACUAAUUAAAUUUUAUUUAGUCAGCUGAAAAUUUAUUUAAUAAGGAGACCCUUUCCCUUCCCUUUCGAAGCACUGACCCUCUGAUUAUACAUACUGGGCUCUGCAAGAAUCCUGCAUCAAUUCUGCUGUUUCUAUCAUUAACUAGGAAUCAUUUAUCUCUACUGACUUAAUUACUUUUAUUGCAAGUAUAUGAGUGUCUCCCUUGUAUAUGUUUGUGUACCAAAUGUGUGUCUGGUACCCACUACAGCCAGAAGAGGGCAUCCAAGCAUAUAGAACAGGAGUCAUGGUGUUUGUAAACUACUCUGGUGGUGCUGGGAACUGAACCCAGCUAGAAUAGUACAACUAUUAACCAUUUAGCCAUCUCUCCAUCUCAGCAAUUAAACUCAUAAAAGUAGGAUGCCAGUUUAACAUCUCUCUUCUUUUUAUGUUGUGAGAAGUAAUUCUAACACCUUAGUCAAGCAUCAAGAGCCCCAAGGGCCCCCACAUCCUUUCCAAGAUCAAAAACCAAUUCUAAGUAGAUAACUUGUUUUUUAAAGAAUGUGUAACACAUAUAGCAUAGAAGCUAAACUAAAGCUGUGUAAACCAGUUGGAAAGGUUUCAUGACAUAGGGAAAAGACAGUGUUGUAACAUCUUAAAUGCCUUUUUGAUUUUUCCCGUAGAUUCCUCCCUUCUCUCAGAUCCCAAGUUCAUACUUCACAUCUUCUCUUUCCAGUCCUUCAGUACCUGACACUUAUAUCUUUGGGUUUUUUUCAUUACUCCUGAUAGCAUACUUUUAUUACUAGUCUGAUUUGUAAGAAAAACUCAACCAUGUUCCUUUAGAAGACGUCAGCCAUACUGUUUGGAAUUGGCAUUUGCUAUUUACCUUCCCUAAAGUAGUCCUGUGGACUGUGUCUCUUGCUUCUCUUGGAAGUGGCCAAAGGGGUCAGCCUGCUAGGGAGAACUGUGACUGUGUCAGCUGAGAGAAAAACUAAGAUGUCAUGGUAGGGUCCAGUUCUUCUCUGAUGACUUCAUUUUCCAGAGUCAGAUAUUUAAGACUGUAGAUAUUCAUAGACUCUAACCGUCCAACGAAUGGUAAACAUAUAAUACAUUGUAUUUUUGAAAAUUGAAAGGCCUGUGUGGUUCUACUUAAAAAUGCACUGAAUUUUAUUUUGAACAAUUUAAUUAGUGUUCGCUUCAAGGGAAACAUUUCAUUCCAGGCUAAAUUUUAUUUACCUGGAAUAAAAAAGAAAAAAGAAAAGAGAAACACACACUCCUCUUAAUAAAAAAA
rnacentral:lncRNA from 1 species